AGUAUGACUAUUGGGUCAUAUGGUGAGCAUGUGUUUUGUUUCAAAGAAACUGCCAAACUGUUUUCCAAAGUGACUACACUAUUUUGCAUCCCCACCAACAAA
rnacentral:pre_miRNA from 1 species